AGAGUUUGAUCAUGGCUCAGGAUAAACGCUGGCGGCGUGCCUAACACAUGCAAGUCGAACGUCCUUUCUUGUUACGGCAAGAGAGGGAGUGGCGGACGGGUGAGUAACACAUGGGUGACCUGGCCCGAAGUGAGGGAUACCGGCGAGAAAUUGCCGACAAGCCCGCAUAGGCUCUUUUUCAUCACGGGAGGAGAGCAAAGCCUGCAAGGGUGCUUUGGGAUGGGCCUGUGGCCGAUUAGCUGGUUGGUGGGGUAAGAGCCUACCAAGGCUGCGAUCGGUAGCUGGUCUGAGAGGACGAACAGCCACACUGGGAUUGAGAACGGCCCAGACUCCUACGGGGGGCAGCGGUGAGGAAUUUUCGGCAAUGGGCGAGAGCCUGACCGAGCAACGCCGCGUGCAGGAGGACGCUUUUCGGAGUGUAAACUGCUUUUGUCCGGGAAGAGGAUGGACGGUACCAGAGGAAGAAGCCCCGGCUAACUACGUGCCAGCAGCCGCGGUAAUACGUAGGGGGCGAGCGUUGUCCGGAGUUACUGGGCGUAAAGGGCAUGCAGGCGGUGGCGCGCGUUUUGUGUGACAGCGGAUGGCUUAACUAUCCGAGCAUACGAAAGACGGCGGCACUUGAGAGCGCGAGAGGGACACGGAAUUCCGGGUGGAGUGGUGAAAUGCGUAGAGAUCCGGAGGAACACCGAAGGCGAAGGCAGUGUCCUGGCGCGUAUCUGACGCUGAGGUGCGAAAGCCAGGGGAGCGAACGGGAUUAGAUACCCCAGUAGUCC
rnacentral:rRNA from 1 species